ACCAUGCCUCUCUCUCUCUCUCUCUCUCUCUCUCUCUCUCUCCCGUAAGUCUUCUUCUCUUCUUUGUCAAACUUCUCUCUCUCUUCUAACUCCUAGCCAGAGCAGCAGCUGAAGCACCGUCGACUCCUCUUCCAUGUUGCCCCCGUCACUCGAUCUCACUUUGGGGGGCUCUACUUAGUACCUGGUCGCCUUUCCCUGGUCACGGCUGUGCAUUGAAUUUGCUUUUCAAUGCGUUGGUAGUGCGUGAGUAGUAUUUUGGUUGGCCAGAUCUACCAUGGUUUUUUUGUAUUUUUGAGGAUCUGGGUGAGUUUUACUCUUCAGAUUAGAAGCCCCCAAAUCUCUCUCUCUCUCUCUCUGAGGAAACCCUAGCCAAUGCAUCGUGCCUUUGCUUCCGUUGCUCUCUCGCUGGACUUUUGGAUCACCACCUUCAACAGAAAUUGCCAAUAGCUAAUUUAGGUGAAUUUGUGAGUGAAAUGCUUGCUAGUGGACUUGAAGGACCCAUACCAUCAUCUAUUUCUAUUUUGGAAAAGUUAAAAGAUUUGUUGACAUUAUUUGCAACUUAUAGAAUAUUUUUAUUGUUUAUUUAUUGGCAUUAUUUCCUUUUGAAAUGGACAUGAAUGUGUGCUAUGGGAAAUUGCUAUAGCUUGCAAAAAUAUCAUAGAUAUUUAAUUUUCAUGAGUCCUGCAAUAAAACAUGACCAUUAGAUAUGUAAUUUUCAUAUAUUGUAAUUUUGUAUUUGUAAUGUAUAAAUACCAAAUAAUGUAAUAUGGAAUAAAUUGCAUUAUGGGUUGUAUGCAUUUAACAUGAUAAA